rnacentral:misc_RNA from 1 species
AAUCUUUCGAAUCGUCGACUUAUUCUCAGAACUUUUUGUAACGAUUGCGUGAGUUCUACGUUAGGCGGUUUUAAGAGGAGACGCGACGCAAUUGGAAGCACGCGGCAGAAAAUUUCGGUACAGACCAAGAGGAACGUAACAGUCGAAAUAUAUGUCAUACGUGGGAACCAAGGUCGAAACAAAAAUUCCAGGCACACGAUACAACAUCGACACGACAGAAACGCUUCCUGCUAUCUGUGAAUAGAACGCGGAGAAUUACGUUCGGUCGCUGGAAGUCAACC